UCCUCUCUGCUUGGGAGGCAGUCAUCCACCCC
rnacentral:sRNA from 1 species